GUACCGUGAGGGAAAGGCGAAAAGAACCCCGGCGAGGGGAGUGAAAAAGAACCUGAAACCGUGUACGUACAAGCAGUGGGAGCACAGGUUUACCUGUGUGACUGCGUACCUUUUGUAUAAUGGGUCAGCGACUUAUAUUCUGUAGCAAGGUUAACCGUAUAGGGGAGCCGUAGGGAAACCGAGUCUUAACCGGGCGUUAAGUUGCAGGGUAUAGACCCGAAACCCGGUGAUCUAGCCAUGGGCAGGUUGAAGGUUGGGUAACACUAACUGGAGGACCGAACCGACUAAUGUUGAAAAAUUAGCGGAUGACCUGUGGCUGGGGGUGAAAGGCCAAUCAAACCGGGAGAUAGCUGGUUCUCCCCGAAAGCUAUUUAGGUAGCGCCUCGUGAAUUCAUCUCCGGGGGUAGAGCACUGUUUCGGCUAGGGGGCCAUCCCGGCUUACCAACCCGAUGCAAACUGCGAAUACCGGAGAAUGUUAUCACGGGAGACACACGGCGGGUGCUAACGUCCGUCGUGAAGAGGGAAACAACCCAGACCGCCAGCUAAGGUCCCAAAGUCAUGGUUAAGUGGGAAACGAUGUGGGAAGGCCCAGACAGCCAGGAUGUUGGCUUAGAAGCAGCCAUCAUUUAAAGAAAGCGUAAUAGCUCACUGGUCGAGUCGGCCUGCGCGGAAGAUGUAACGGGGCUAAACCAUG
rnacentral:rRNA from 1 species